rnacentral:rRNA from 1 species
CACGUAGGGUGCAAGCGUUGUCCGGAAUUAUUGGGCGUAAAGGGCUCGUAGGCGGUCCGUCACGUCGGGAGUGAAAACUCGGGGCUCAACCCCGAGCCUGCUUUCGAUACGGGCAGACUAGAGUGCGGUAGGGGAGACUGGAAUUCCUGGUGUAGCGGUGAAAUGCGCAGAUAUCAGGAGGAACACCGGUGGCGAAGGCGGGUCUCUGGGCCGUAACUGACGCUGAGGAGCGAAAGCGUGGGGAGCAAACAGG